UACGAAGGGAGCUAGCGUUGUUCGGAAUCACUGGGCGUAAAGCGCACGUAGGCGGAUGUGUCAGUCAGGGGUGAAAUCCCGGAGCUCAACUUCGGAACUGCCUUUGAUACAGCACGUCUUGAGUCCGAUAGAGGAGAGUGGAAUUCCUGGUGUAGCGGUGAAAUGCGCAGAUAUCAGGAAGAACACCCGUGGCGAAGGCGGCUCUCUGGGACGGUACUGACGCUGAGACGCGAAAGCGUGGGGAGCGAACAGG
rnacentral:rRNA from 1 species